AACCCCCAGCUCAGACAUACAGAUUCAAAGGAGGACAUGAACAGAAUGGAAUUGGGAACUAGCAUCCAAGGAGUUAUCCUGAAGUACCGGAAGACCUCGGUAAAGAAAGGAGAAAAGGGGAAGGUUAAGCCAAACUCCCUCUGUUUAGCGAAAAAAACCAGGCUAAGAUCCUUUUGGGGAUCGAUUAGGUUGGAGGGAGGAGGAUCAGGAAGAACGAUCCUCUCGUUCGGGUAGGGGG
rnacentral:lncRNA from 1 species